GUGGGCGGUGGGGGAGGCACCCCGCUCCGCCGGGCUGCGGCCCCACCCGGCACCGGCACCGACGCCGGGCGCCUACG
rnacentral:tRNA from 1 species